CACUGCGCUCCAAAGGUAGAGAUGCGGCGUGGAGGGGGCGGCAUUGGGAGAGAGAGACAAGGGGUCCGAGGGCCCCGCCCGGGGCCUGCCCAGCCUGCCCGAAGGUACAGACGGGGCUGAGUUUGCACAACAGGAAGAGCUCUGGCUUGAUUAAAAAAAACAACAAACUGAGCAAAUUAGGUGCAGAAGGAAUGUACCUCAACAUAAAAGUGUACAAAUUUCAGUUAUGCAAAAAAAAAGAAAACUGGACACUUGAAUAUAAUAAUGCAGUAACUCUGGAGAUGAGACUCUCCUCUUCCUCAGGGUUUGCUGUUUUGGAUUAUAUUUCAUAUAUAAUUAUAUAUAUUAUAUUAUAUAUAAUAUCUGUAUAAUAAUAUAUAUUAUUACAUAUAAUUAUAUUAUAUUACAUUAUAUUAUAUAUAUCAUAAUAUAUUAUAUAAUAUAUAUAAUAUUGUAUUAUUUAAUAAUAUAUAAUAUAUUAUAAUAUUAUACCAUGUAAUAAUAUAUAAUAUUAUACCAUGUAAUAAUAUAUAAUAUUAUAUCAUGUAAUAAUAUAUAAUAUUACAUCA
rnacentral:lncRNA from 1 species